UUCCGUAGGUGAACCUGCGGAAGGAUCAUUGUCGUGACCCUUAAACAAAACAGACCGUGAACGUGUCAUCCAUGUCGUCGGGCUACGGCCCGACCAAGGCCCCCCACCUUCGUUUCGUUGGAGGGAGGCCGCCAAAGAACCCACGGCGCCAAAGGCGUCAAGGAACACUGAUAUUGCCUUGCUCGGGGUCAUGCUCGGCCUGCCGCGCUUGCCCCGUGCAAUGUUGCUAUCUUAAUCCACACGACUCUCGGCAACGGAUAUCUCGGCUCUCGCAUCGAUGAAGAACGUAGCAAAAUGCGAUACCUGGUGUGAAUUGCAGAAUCCCGCGAACCAUCGAGUUUUUGAACGCAAGUUGCGCCCAAGGCCUUCUGGUUGAGGGCACGCCUGCCUGGGCGUCACGCCAAAAGACACUCCCAACCCAUCCUUGGGUACGGACGUGGUGUUUGGCUCCCCACGCCUCGUGGCGUGGUGGGCUGAAGUUGGGGCUGCUGGCAUACCGUGUCGGGCACCUGCAUGUGGUGGGCGACAUAAGUUGUUCUCGGUGCAGUGUGCAGGCACGCAGCUAGCUCCUUGGCCUAAAGGACCCAUUUACGACCGUAGCGCCUUGGUGCUCGGACCGCGACCCCAGGUCAGGCGGGACUACCC
rnacentral:rRNA from 1 species